UACGGAGGGUGCGAGCGUUGUCCGGAAUCAUUGGGCGUAAAGGGCGCGUAGGUGGCCAGGUAGGUGGGUUGUGAAAACUGGAGGCUCAACCUUCAGACGUCGACCCAAACCCCCUGGCUAGAGUCCGGAAGAGGAGAGUGGAAUUCCUGGUGUAGCGGUGAAAUGCGUAGAGCUCGGGAAGAACAUCGGUGGCGAAAGCGCUCUGCUGGACUGCAACUGACACUCAGGGACGAAAGCUAGGGGAGCGAAUGGG
rnacentral:rRNA from 1 species